AUGUCUGGGGCCGCUUUUGGACCCGGGCCCCCCCAGCUCAAGGCGCCAGUCUGGCACGGGGGUCGGUUCCUGAACCCUCCCCCGCCCUCACGCGUGGGAAGAGAAAUGGGGGUCCUGGGCCUUCCUCCACGUUCCUGUUCCCUCCCGCAGUGCCCCCCCGAGGGAGGCCUCCUCCCUGGCCCCAUCCCAGGCGGGUCCCCUCCCUCGCCCAAUUAUAGCUCUGCCAGCCCUCACGGCGAGGGAGGGACAGCGUGGCGGGGAGCUCAGACACUGCCUUGCAGGAAAGCCGGAGGCCGGCUCUAUUCUGGGCAGUGGCCUGUGGUCACCGUCUCGCCACGGCCCCCCCGGCUCUCCCCGGCACAAGCCUCAGUUCCUCCUUCCGUGGACGGGGGGCAGAGGCUGGGAGAGAGCGCUGGCGAGCCUGAGACAGCCGGAGGGCCGGGAGGGAAAGCAGACGCCCCUCGCUCUGGAGCCCCUUACAGGACCCCCUUACAGGCCCCCCUCUCUCCGGGGUCCUUCUUGCAGGCCCCCCAGGCUCUCCCCUUCCAUCCCCACCCAAGCCAGGGCUGGUGCGGCAGCUGCCAAGCCCACGGGCAAAUUACAGCCGUGCUGACCAGCCCCUCCCAGCAGGAGCAGCCGGGCUGACCCCGCACCCCGUCCCAGGAAGCCACAGGGCUGGGCCCCGGAGGCUGAUUCUGUCCAGCAUCUCCUGUUUGCGGAGCUGACGGUCUCCUGGGAAACAGGCGGCACCCGAACAAGUCGAGGCUCCAUCUAUACCCGGGACAGGGCCAAAGGGAUUCCAGGAGAAACUGGGGAGCAGGCGGGGGAGCUGCUGGUGCAAAAGAGUGGUGGUGGGAGAUGGAGCACUUGAGCUGCCUGGGAGGGCAGCCACGGGGCAUCUGGGGGAAUGGGCAGGCCUAGGCUCUGGGGCCCCAGCCCUGCCUGACAGCCCAGACACAGAAGGGCUUUCCCAGGGCUGAGGGGGAGCCCCGGCUCCGAGCCUCAGGCUUUGCCCUCUGGGAAAUGGGGGUCCCAACUCCCGCCCUGCCGGCUGGGCUCUAAGAGCUGGCGGCAGCUGCCCAUUUCCUUGGAAACUCUGAGAGGAUGCUCCGUGCCCGUCAUGGGGCCGAGCAGAGGAGGAAGCCGCUGACCGCAAGGAGGACGGGCCAGAAAAGCUCCUGAGGUGCCCAGUCAGGCUGCAAGGAGAUGGGGGUGCUGGGCCCAGAUGGGCGGGGGAGGAAGGAGGGAGGAAACGGGCCGGGAGGCGCAAGCAGCACUGCCGCACUUUGGAGCGCCCCACAGGGCCCCGCCAGCCCUGGCUUCCCCUCGGAGGGCUUCUGCUGCCAGGGGCAGCUCCCCGCCAACAGCCCAUCAGGUCCCCACUCGGGACACAUGACCAAGCGCCCCAGGGAGCAAGGAGUUCCCGAGUCCGGCUGCUUCGUGGGAGGGCUGGCGAGGGGCAGAGGCCAGGCAGGGUGGGCCGGGGUGCCAGGGGGCGCGCUGCCAUUCUCGGCAGAGCUGUUUGUGGUUACAACAUAUCAUUUGGGGCUAAGCUUCCUGGAACCGGGAGCCCUUGGAGCAGACCGGGGCCCCUCUGGGCUCAGCUCCCUGGCCCAGCCACAGCCUGAGCUUGGCCUUCCAGGGA
rnacentral:lncRNA from 1 species